ensembl:lncRNA
UCAUGUUUAAUGAGCUCCCUGAGCAAGUGUCUGGGUCCACCCCUGGAGCAGGCAGAGAGAGCACAGCAGGAGCAAAGGCCUGAGGUGGAACCCUGCAAAGCAGUCUCAGCUAAGAGGAAGAGGCAGGAGUCAAGACCGUGCCCAGGCCUGAAGAAAGACCAGGCUGGUCUUCAGACUUCAGGUUGGUAGAAGAAGAGUGGAUCUGCAGAGAUCAGUGCCCUGGGAAGAAGCCAAGGCCUGGUGGGAGAGGUCCCAUCUCAGCACAUUCUCUUCUGUGCAAUGCAGAGGAAAUAAUUAACCUUGGGCCACAACAGCUGCCAGAAGAACCCUUCAGGAAUUCAAGCCCUCCCUGAAUAACAUGUGGGCCACCACUCCCACUGUGCAGCCCGGUGGGAGAAGGGAGUUGCACUAGGCCUUCUCUUCUCGGGAGAUAUGCUGACAUGCGGUCACAUGCACACCAGCCCUCUCGGCUUCCUGGGACAGCAUCCUGGGCACUCAAGAGCAUGGGCUCCUGGCUUCCUUCUCCCUAGGAUAAUCCCUUCUUAUUGAGGCUCCUUAGCCCCUCACAGAUCCUGACUCAGCUCACAGUGGCAUGAGGAGAAACAAGGGGAAGGGAUUGAACUCAGGACCUUGCACUUGCCAGGCAGGCGCAGUGCCAUUGAGUUACAUCCUGGCCCAAAGACCAAUUCUGAGGUGAGGAGAAAAGGUUGAUUUUCCACUAUGAAUUUGGGAGUGCCUAAGAAGGUGAGAACAGAGGGAGAUAUAGGAGAGCUGAGACUCAAGGUAUCAGAUUGGGUCCAGAAACAAGGCCCUAGAAGUUGUUGGGAUGCCUUGGAGAGAAGUAUCCAGGAAGGAAGGGAAAGGGGACUCAGCUCCCCAAGAAGCAGGAAGAGAGAUCCCAGAGAAGUAGCUAGCAAUCCAGGAGGAGCAGUCACAGAAGCCAAGGCAGCUUUCAAAGAAGGGAUGGCACACACCUGUCAUCUUAACACCUGGGAGACUGAAGGAGGAGGACUGCAAGUGCAAGUCCAACCUGGACUGCACAGCAAAACCCUAUCUCAAAUAUAUAUAAUUUUUAAAAGAGGGGAGGAUCAGCUGCAAGUAACAUAGAGGACUGAGAAGCAAAAGAACAGGAUGCAUUUGUCACUCCUGAACAGGCUUGGGGGUGUGAAGGUUUUAACAGUGGCAGUCCAUGACCUGCGACCAGUUUGAGUGUGAACAGAUGGCUGCACCAGACUGAAAAGGCUGUGCACUGCACAUCCCAGUAACUAACGUUUCACAUAUGCUCCCUGAGAGUUGACGGUGCUGUUUGAGGUCUGUAACUGUAGUGUGCCCGUUUCCCACACGGCGGCGCCCAAGACCAACUCUGGACUUAAUGGUUGGGUGGCAAAGAGCAGAGGGGUCAAUUUGGGAAUCCUUGGUGGUGUCUUAGGUCAUUGUCCCGUGGAAGGAGGGGGCUGCCAAAUGCCUGGUGACUGGGAUACACCCUUCCAUGCCCUCCAGGUCUCGGUUAGAGCACUUCUCCUAGAGGCCUCAGCUCCAAUGUCACUGCUUCAAAGAAGACUUCAUUGACCACCAUGACUAAAGUAGCCUCUCGGCCUCAUCACUUCAAACCUCAUCACCCCGAUUUGUUUUCUUCACAGCUCUUCUCUCCCUCUGAUAUAUUAACUCAUUUGUUGUCUGUCCCUACUUUGGCUAGAGCAUAAACUCCUGGACAGCACGGACCUUGCCACUGUGUCCCCAGCAUCCAGAGUGAGGCCAGGAACAUACAGAGUGCCCAUUCCCUGCCUGAUGUCCACUUUCAGUGGCCACGGAAUAUCUCAGGGCCUGCGUGAACGCCCUUCAACCCUCUCCCUCCCAUUGACGGGCUGUGUAGUCCACUUAGCCCUAUUAAACCAGCCACUGCUCAACAUAUCAG